rnacentral:sRNA from 1 species
AAGUCGUAACAAGGUCUCCGUAGGUGAACCUGCGGAGGGAUCAUUACAAGAACGCCCGGGCUUCGGCCUGGUUAUCCAUAACCCUUUGUUGUCCGACUCUGUUGCCUCCGGGGCGACCCUGCCUUCGGGCGGGGGCUCCGGGUGGACACUUCAAACUCUUGCGUAACUUUGCAGUCUGAGUAAACUUAAUUAAUAAAUUAAAACUUUUAACAACGGAUCUCUUGGUUCUGGCAUCGAUGAAGAACGCAGCGAAAUGCGAUAAGUAAUGUGAAUUGCAGAAUUCGGUGAAUCAUCGAAUCUUUGAACGCACAUUGCGCCCCCUGGUAUUCCGGGGGGCAUGCCUGUUCGAGCGUCAUUUCACCACUCAAGCCUCGCUUGGUAUUGGGCAACGCGGUCCGCCGCGUGCCUCAAAUCGUCCGGCUGGGUCUUCUGUCCCCUAAGCGUUGUGGAAACUAUUCGCUAAAGGGUGUUCGGGAGGCUACGCCGUAAAACAACCCCAUUUCUAAGGUUGACCUCGGAUCAGGUAGGGAUACCCGCUGAACUUAA